rnacentral:rRNA from 1 species
AAAUGAAUAGACGGGGACCCGCACAAGCAGAGGAGCAUGUUGUUUAAUUCGAAGAAACGCGAAAAACCUUACCAAGGCUUGACAUUGAAUGCAUAGUCUAGAGAUAGAUGAAAUUAUAGCAAUAUAACAUUUAAACAGAUGGUGCAUGGUUGUCGUCAGCUCGUGUCGUGAGAUGUUGGGUUAAGUCCCGCAACGAGCGCAACCCCUAUCAUUAGUUGCCAUCAUUAAGUUGGGGACUCUAGUGAGACUGCCGUAGAUAAUACGGAGGAAGGUGGGGAUGACGUCUAAUCAUCAUGCCUCUUACGCCUUGGGCUACAAACGUGCUACAAUGGCCAUUACAAAGAGAUGCGAAACAGCAAUGUGGAGCAAACCUCAAAAAAAUGGUCCCAGUUCGGAUUGUGGGCUGCAACCCGCCCACAUGAAGUCGGAUUUGCUAGUAAUCCCGAAUCAGCAUGUCGGGGUGAAUGCGUUCCCGGGUCUUGUACACACCGCCCGU